rnacentral:tRNA from 1 species
GCCAGUUUGGCUCAGUGGAUAGAGCGUCGGCCUGCAGACCGAAAGGUCCCAGGUUCGAUUCCGGUGAAGGGCA